rnacentral:misc_RNA from 1 species
GAUGAAGAACGCAGCGAACGUGCGAAACGUAAUGUGAAUUGCAGAAUUCAGUGAAUCAUCGAAUCUUUGAACGCAUCUUGCGCUCCUUGGUAUUCCGAGGAGCAUGCCUGUUUGAGUGUCGUGAAUACUCUCAACUUCAACCCUUUUUUCGGAAAGGGAGGAAGGUUGGACUUGGGUGUUUGUUGAAGUGCGAGCUUCGACUCAUCCUAAAUGCAUUAGCGAUCUGCCUCGAUCACACACAAUGUGAUAAUUAAAACUAAAGCAUUGUUUAAUGAUCAAGUCGAGACUGCUUCUAACUGUCGCAAGACAAUAACGUGCAUACAUUUGUGCAUGUCAUUUGACCUCAAAUCAGGUAGGACUACCCGCUGAACUUAAGCAUAUCAAUAAGUGGAGGA